rnacentral:misc_RNA from 1 species
GAACGCACAUUGCGCCCUUUGGUAUUCCGAAGGGCAUGCCUGUUCGAGCGUCAUUAUCACCCCUCAAGCCCUCGGCUUGGUGUUGGACGGUUUGGUGGAGGCCCCCUCGGGGGCUCCUGCCCCUCCCAAAGACAAUGACGGCGGCCUCGUUGGACCCCCGGUACACUGAGUUCUUCACGGGACACGUAUCGGACACAUGGGUUUACGGGACACGGUCUGCCUCCCCUCGGGGAGAAUCUUUAUAAGGUUGACCUCGGAUCAGGUAGGGAUACCCGCUGAACUUAAG